AGCUUAGCGCCACCGAGUUUGAAGAGCAUGCGGGGUAUCGCCAUCAAAGAAAGCCCUACACAAACAUAUGCACAUCGAAAAAUGAAUCCCUUGAAAAACUUUCUGGAAGGCUUGAAGCUGCACUGAUUGCAGGCAGUGCUUUGUGCAGCAAAUGUCAUGAUGGCGGAGAUCUAUUGCUUUGCAAAGAAUGCCGUCGUAGUUUUCACACAGAAUGUGUCGAUCAAUUACUAAAGACAAGAAACAAAUUUGCAAAUAUUGCAAAGACAUGUUCAUAGAGAAACAUCAUAACGUGAAUGAUGCUGAAGAAACUGUUGCCACUGCUCAAUCCAUAGAGGCGUUGACGCCGAGCAGCAGUGGUAGCGAUGAUCAUUGUAAAGACGACAUA